CUGCUGGAAUACCUUCCAUCCUCUCCCUACGUACCAGAAACUUGAUCAUCUGACAACAUGCAAGGCUGGGUGACUGCUCGAGGCAGACCGGUGUGCUGGGAUAGCCCGGGGGACACGCUCUCUCUUGUGCUCUAGCACAGGAAGAGCUGUGGGAAACCUGAAGAAAUCUGGGAUUAGAGCUUGGAGGAAAACUUCCUUCCCAGCAGAAAAAGGGCGCUUUUGUCAAGAGACCCUGAUGUGUGAAACAUCUGUGCAGUGCUAAAAAAAGGGGGGAAAAGCGUAUGGAAGCAAGAACUCCAGAACUGUUUCCCUCCACUCCUCCUUUCCCUCUGCCUAUUAACCAGCAAAAUGGGAAUCUAUAGAACUGUGAGCAUAUGGGGUGAAAAAUAAUAAAAAGGUGAAUAAAGUGAAAUGAUUUUCUGGCUGGG